GACGAACGCUGGCGGCGUGCUUAACACAUGCAAGUCGAACGGAAACGCCCUGCUUUUGUGGUGUGCCCGAUUGGCGAACGGGUGCGUAACACGUGAGUAACCUGCCCUUCACUUUCGGAUAACUUCAGGAAACUGGGGUUAAUCUCGGACAGCAGCCCCUCCUGCAUGGUGGGGGUUGGAUCGUUUAGGCGGUCGGGGAUGGAUUCGCGGCUUACCAGCUUGUUGGUGGGGUAGUGGCUUACCCAGGCUUUGACGGGUAGCCGGCCUGGGAGGGUGACCGGCGACAAUGGGACUACGAUACGGACCAGACGCCUACGGGGGGCAGCAGUGGCGAAUAUGGCACAGUGAGCGGAAGCCUGAUACGGCGACGCCGGGUGCGGGAUGACGGCCUUCGGGGUGUGAACCGCUUUCGCCUGUGACGAAGCGGGAGUGACGGUAAUGAGUAAAGAAGCACCGGCUAACUACGUG
rnacentral:rRNA from 1 species